rnacentral:misc_RNA from 1 species
CGAAAAAGAAAGAGAGCUAAGGAGAGACAGAGAGCAUACGAAAGUAGAAGGAGACAGAGCACCGGUGGGUUACCACACCCAACCGCGCCGGGGACCGAGUGAACAAGUGAACGAGCCGUACGAGAGCUCUCUCGCGAGUAGUACGCGGGCACAGCGAGGGACCCAGGGGCCGACGAUCGGGAUUCGACGGGAGUGCUCGCUCGGAACUCUUCAGAUCUCGAUCCGAGGAACGGACCUCGCGGAAAUUCGCCGCGACGAAGAGGCUCGAGAACGUGUACGCGCGUGUCCCUCCGCGAGUGCGUUUCACGAUAGAACGCGGUGUGUGCGUGGAACAGGAACGUCGAAGGAGAUCGAAAGGGCUGAACGAGCGUGAACGAGGAUCGACGAGAAGAAGAGGAAAAAGGAAAAUAAGGAAAGGAAAAGAAGCAAACCAGAUAGAUAGAGAGACAGAGAGAGGAGGAGAGACAAGCUACCGGCCGAGGUUGGUGCGUGUGCGUACAUGUGUUGAUGUGUCGCUGGCGUCGUCGAGCCCUGCCAGGAGUGCUCUGUCGUCGCCGCCGCGUGUGCACAAGUCGUCGAGAAUUACGGGGAGAUCCCGGAGCCGCAUCCGUUUAACUCGAAUCGUCCACGUUGCGCGUCGUCCUUCUCGUCGUACGUGUACGAGUGUGUCUCGGGUGGUGAACACCGGUGGUUAGAGUGGUGGUGGUGCGAACGGUUGCGGGUGAAUUUCGUUGAUUCGGCCAGGACCAAGAGGGAAGGGAAAGAAAACAACGCCGAGAGAAGGAAAAAGCCACGAGGACGGCGACGAGACGUCGUCGCUCGUUCCCGGUAGCAAGGUAAUAAAGAGGCCCGACGACGAUACCGAGCCGUCGAGCCAACUGCCGUCUACGACGACACUCGCCGCACGGCAAUCGCUCGCCACUACCGCAAAUCGCUCGUUCCCUCUCUCUUUCCCCUCCUCCCUCCUCCCUCCCUUCCUCCUCCCUAUCCUUCUCCUCCUCCUCCUCCUCCUUGUCCUUCUUUUCCACCUCUUUCUACUCGUUUUUCUCCUCUCUUCCUCUUCCGUCCGUCAAGGAUCCUGCCGUCCUGAGCCAUGGCGUGCUGCCUGUCGGAAGAGGCGAAGGAGCAGAAACGAAUCAAUCAGGAGAUCGAGCGGCAACUACGAAAGGACAAGCGAGAUGCCAGGCGGGAACUCAAGUUACUACUUUUGGGUACUGGUGAAUCCGGCAAAUCCACCUUCAUCAAACAGAUGAGAAUCAUCCACGGUUCCGGAUACUCGGACGACGACAAGAGGGGGUUCAUCAAACUCGUCUAUCAAAACAUUUUCAUGGCCAUGCAGUCCAUGAUCCGAGCCAUGGACCUCCUCAAGAUCCAGUACGGAGACUCUUCGAAUAUAGAAAAGGCAGAACUCGUGCGGAGCGUGGAUUUCGAAACGGUUACAACGUUCGAGAGUCCAUACGUAGAAGCAAUCAAGGAUUUGUGGGCAGACGCCGGGAUCCAAGAGUGUUACGAUCGCAGGCGAGAAUAUCAGCUCACAGAUUCCGCUAAAUAUUAUCUUAGUGAUCUAGAACGUAUCGAAAAGCCCGACUUCCUUCCUACCGAACAAGACAUUCUUCGGGCUCGAGCUCCCACAACUGGCAUUAUAGAAUAUCCGUUUGAUUUGGACUCCAUCAUAUUUAGGAUGGUAGAUGUUGGUGGACAGAGAUCAGAAAGAAGAAAGUGGAUUCACUGUUUCGAAAAUGUUACUUCUAUAAUCUUCUUAGUAGCCUUAAGUGAAUACGAUCAAAUUUUGUUUGAGUCGGAAAACGAGAAUCGAAUGGAAGAAAGUAAGGCACUGUUCAAAACAAUCAUCACAUAUCCUUGGUUUCAACACUCCUCUGUCAUUCUGUUCCUAAAUAAAAAAGAUCUGCUUGAAGAGAAGAUUAUGUAUUCCCAUCUUGUUGACUAUUUCCCUGAAUAUGAUGGCCCACAAAGAAAUGCCUCGACUGCUAGAGAAUUCAUUUUAAGGAUGUUUGUCGACUUGAAUCCAGACUCUGAGAAGAUCAUUUAUUCACAUUUUACGUGUGCCACAGAUACCGAAAACAUCAGAUUUGUAUUUGCAGCAGUGAAAGACACCAUUCUCCAGUCUAACUUAAAAGAGUACAAUUUGGUUUAGACGACAAUAUAUAACACUCAAGAUGGAUUUAACAAUUUUUCUUAUACCCUGACCAAGGUAUUAGUGUGGACACUGUCAAGUUACAAAUGGAGAAGAGAUGAGAUAAAGGCGGAAAGUAAACAGUAAUUUUGUGGUGCCAUCAGCGUAACGUUCGCUGCUCCAUUACAAGUGUACCAACUGAUUAGUAAAAUUUUAUGACGGAGAUUAGUUUAGUCAAUCAUGCCUGGCUGACUGCGUAAUCAUCUGAUUUUUAUAUAACAAAAUACCACGAUGCAACAUAUAAAUAAACGUAUAAGAUAGAGUGCAGCCAUGCCAUACAAAUGUCUGUCCAAGUGUUUAUCUCAAAUUGAGAGAUCUCAGCAAGAAACUAAAGAUGAAGAAGGACAAACGCUUUUUAAUCACAAAGUAGUCAGUGACACAAGUGAGAGCAAUUCUAGUGCCAUUUACUAGUGUGGUGUUUUUAUUGCAAUCCUUUCUUAGAUGCAAAAGCCAAAGUGUUUUUUUAUCUGUGCCAGAAGCGAAUAAAAGUUUUUUCUGCAUGCGA